UCCCUGGUAGUAUAUCGGCUAGUACACCCGCCUGUCAUCCAAAGGACCGCGGGAGAGCGGGGUUCGACUCCCCGCCAGGGAG